rnacentral:lncRNA from 10 species
AAGGCUCUUGAAACCAUUGUUCCACAGCAUACUGAGUUUCAGGUAAGCCAUAGAGAGGUCUAUCACAAGGAAAUCACUGGGCAUGGAUUUUGUCCAAUAGAGUUAAUCUCAACAAGAUUAAAAGAAAGACUACAGUUUUUUGAAUAUUGUAUUGGUGAAAGCAUGAUCAGCUUGGACUGAAGGGGACAGAAAAGGUUCACCAUUAAACAAAACAAAAUACCACAAAAUAUUCAGAACCUCGGAACUUCUAUUGGCAGGAUAUAAUGUGGGGCGUUGCAAUGUUUGUAUCUCAGGAAGAAAACAUCCCAUCCAGUCCACAAAUAGCUAUCACAUUGAAACAAGCCAAAGAGUCAUCGUGAUCAUAGCUAUCAAAAGAAGUAUUAAAA